rnacentral:rRNA from 1 species
UGCAGUCGAGCGGAUGACGGGAGCUUGCUCCUUGAUUCAGCGGCGGACGGGUGAGUAAUGCCUAGGAAUCUGCCUGGUAGUGGGGGACAACGUUUCGAAAGGAACGCUAAUACCGCAUACGUCCUACGGGAGAAAGCAGGGGACCUUCGGGCCUUGCGCUAUCAGAUGAGCCUAGGUCGGAUUAGCUAGUUGGUGGGGUAAUGGCUCACCAAGGCGACGAUCCGUAACUGGUCUGAGAGGAUGAUCAGUCACACUGGAACUGAGACACGGUCCAGACUCCUACGGGAGGCAGCAGUGGGGAAUAUUGGACAAUGGGCGAAAGCCUGAUCCAGCCAUGCCGCGUGUGUGAAGAAGGUCUUCGGAUUGUAAAGCACUUUAAGUUGGGAGGAAGGGCAUUAACCUAAUACGUUAGUGUUUUGACGUUACCGACAGAAUAAGCACCGGCUAACUCUGUGCCAGCAGCCGCGGUAAUACAGAGGGUGCAAGCGUUAAUCGGAAUUACUGGGCGUAAAGCGCGCGUAGGUGGUUUGUUAAGUUGGAUGUGAAAGCCCCGGGCUCAACCUGGGAACUGCAUCCAAAACUGGCAAGCUAGAGUACGGUAGAGGGUGGUGGAAUUUCCUGUGUAGCGGUGAAAUGCGUAGAUAUAGGAAGGAACACCAGUGGCGAAGGCGACCACCUGGGACUGAUACUGACACUGAGGUGCGAAAGCGUGGGGGAGCAAACAGGAGUAGAUACCCCUGCGUAGUCCACGCCGUAAACGAUGUCAACUAGCCCUUUGGAAUCCUUGAGAUUUU